rnacentral:rRNA from 1 species
CCUACGGGAGGCAGCAGUGGGGAAUAUUGGACAAUGGGCGAAAGCCUGAUCCAGCCAUGCCGCGUGUGUGAAGAAGGCCUUCGGGUUGUAAAGCACUUUCAGUGAGGAAGAACGCCUCUGGCUUAAUACGUCAGAGGGAAGACAUCACUCACAGAAGAAGCACCGGCUAACUCCGUGCCAGCAGCCGCGGUAAUACGGAGGGUGCGAGCGUUAAUCGGAAUUACUGGGCGUAAAGCGCGCGUAGGUGGCUUGAUAAGCCGGUUGUGAAAGCCCCGGGCUCAACCUGGGAAUGGCAUCCGGAACUGUCAGGCUAGAGUGCAGGAGAGGAAGGUAGAAUUCCCGGUGUAGCGGUGAAAUGCGUAGAGAUCGGGAGGAAUACCAGUGGCGAAGGCGGCCUUCUGGACUGACACUGACACUGAGGUGCGAAAGCGUGGGUAGCAAACAGGAUUAGAUACCCUGGUAGUCCACGCCGUAAACGAUGUCGACUAGCCGUUGGGCUCCUUGAGAGCUUUGUGGCGCAGUUAACGCGAUAAGUCGACCGCCUGGGGAGUACGGCCGCAAGGUUAAAACUCAAAUGAAUUGACGGGGGCCCGCACAAGCGGUGGAGCAUGUGGUUUAAUUCGAUGCAACGCGAAGAACCUUAC